GGAUGGGCCUGCGUCUGAUUAGCUAGUUGGUAAGGUAACGGCUUACCAAGGCGACGAUCAGUAGCCGACCUGAGAGGGUGAACGGCCACAUUGGAACUGAGACACGGUCCAAACUCCUACGGGAGGCAGCAGUGGGGAAUAUUGCACAAUGGGGGAAACCCUGAUGCAGCAACGCCGCGUGAGCGAUGAAGGCCUUUGGGUCGUAAAGCUCUGUCCUUAGGGAAGAAUAAUGACGGUACCCUGGAGGAAGCCCCG
rnacentral:rRNA from 1 species